AUGCAAGUCGAACGGACCCUUCGGGGUUAGUGGCGGACGGGUGAGUAACACGUGGGAACGUGCCUUUAGGUUCGGAAUAGCUCCUGGAAACGGGUGGUAAUGCCGAAUGUGCCCUUCGGGGGAAAGAUUUAUCGCCUUUAGAGCGGCCCGCGUCUGAUUAGCUAGUUGGUGGGGUAAUGGCCCACCAAGGCUACGAUCAGUAGCUGGUCUGAGAGGAUGACCAGCCACAUUGGGACUGAGACACGGCCCAAACUCCUACGGGAGGCAGCAGUGGGGAAUCUUGCGCAAUGGGCGAAAGCCUGACGCAGCCAUGCCGCGUGUAUGAUGAAGGUCUUAGGAUUGUAAAAUACUUUCACCGGUGAAGAUAAUGACUGUAGCCGGAGAAGAAGCCCCGGCUAACUUCGUGCCAGCAGCCGCGGUAAUACGAAGGGGGCUAGCGUUGCUCGGAAUUACUGGGCGUAAAGGGAGCGUAGGCGGACGUUUAAGUCAGAGGUGAAAUCCCGGAGCUUAACUUCGGAACUGCCUUUGAUACUGGGUGUCUUGAGUGUGAGAGAGGUAUGUGGAACUCCGAGUGUAGAGGUGAAAUUCGUAGAUAUUCGGAAGAACACCAGUGGCGAAGGCGACAUACUGGCUCAUUACUGACGCUGAGGCUCGAAAGCGUGGGGAGCAAACAGGAUUAGAUACCCUGGUAGUCCACGCCGUAAACGAUGAUUGCUAGUUGU
rnacentral:rRNA from 1 species